rnacentral:rRNA from 1 species
AGUGAACGCUGGCGGUAGGCCUAACACAUGCAAGUCGAACGGCAGCACAGUAAGAGCUUGCUCUUACGGGUGGCGAGUGGCGGACGGGUGAGGAAUACAUCGGAAUCUACUUUUUCGUGGGGGAUAACGUAGGGAAACUUACGCUAAUACCGCAUACGACCUACGGGUGAAAGCAGGGAAUCUUCGGACCUUGCGCGAUUGAAUGAGCCGAUGUCGGAUUAGCUAGUUGGCGGGGUAAAGGCCCACCAAGGCGACGAUCCGUAGCUGGUCUGAGAGGAUGAUCAGCCACACUGGAACUGAGACACGGUCCAGACUCCUACGGGAGGCAGCAGUGGGGAAUAUUGGACAAUGGGCACAAGCCUGAUCCAGCCAUACCGCGUGGGUGAAGAAGGCCUUCGGGUUGUAAAGCCCUUUUGUUGGGAAAGAAAAGCAGCAGGUUAAUACCCCGCUGUUCUGACGGUACCCAAAGAAUAAGCACCGGCUAACUUCGUG